rnacentral:lncRNA from 1 species
CCUUUUUGGUCUUUUUUUUAUAACUUUUUAUACUUUUUUUCAUGUUUUGAAAUUUUUACACCUAGACCGUUAUUUAAAACAAUCUUUUUUACUCUAACGUUACUCUGAGAAUUUUCGUUUCACCAUCAUGAUUCUUUACCUUAUGUAAAAAAUAAUUUUGAUUCUCUCAUUGUCUAUUUAACUAAUUCUUUAAUCUCUCGUGUCAUUUUAUUUUACAUAUAAUUUGC